AGCGCCUGACUGGGAGAGACCCCGGGAACGAGACACAGAGAGACACUGAGGAGGCAUCAGAAGGAAGCUGGAGGAAAACAGGAGAGGGGCCAGGCUCCGAUGGAUGAAGGAGGGAGAGGGACGCAGCUGCGAACAGGCUCGGCCACGGACAUAAACUGAGCUGCCGAUAUUACAGACUCAAAGUCAUUUGCAGCCAUUGACUCGGUCUCUUGGCUUCUGUCAUCGGCCCCCGUUUCAAAGACGGGGAGACUGAGACCAAGAGAGGAUCAAGAAGUGGCAGAGACUCAGAGCAAGAUUCUCCUGCCCUGUCCUUAGGGAAGGCCACACACUACACACCUGAGGAUGGCAUCUGCCGGAUCCACCAGCAAGAACACAGGAACAGCGUCUGUCAUCCCAGGGAAAUGAUCUUUAUCUCUAUCCGAGGGAGCGUGAGAGAAGACCUCUCCCUAACGGAACUUCCCCAUGAGAAUGCCGCCAGUCGGCUUCUGGACUGCAGCCUUGGGAAACCACGAGCAGAAACCCCGUGCACUGCGCUGGCAUCCUGAGCCACCGAAAGUGUGAGAUUAAUAAACACGUGCUGCUUUAGGCCACGGCAUCUGUGGGCAUUUGUUACAGUGGCCAGUAACUGAUAGACUCUGGAAAUGACAUCGCACCGUGAAGGUCACACAGAGGCUGUUCAGCCAAGGGUGCAUCCAUGUCCACUCUCCAUGCCUCCCUCUUACUCCCACAACCAGUCAGUCAGUCCCCGCGUGCAGACUCCUCUCUCUCCAGGAUCCCUUCCAUAUCCAUCCCCUUCUCUCUGUCCUGCUCUUGACUGGACGGUCCCACCAGCCAGUGGAUGCCACCAGUCUCCCUUCAGCCCGAUUCUCCUUUGGCCCCUAAAGACUCCCUAACACUCAGAGCGGACCCUUUCCCUCUUCUGCUCAGAAUUCUCCUAUGGCUCCCUAUUGUCCUCAGGAGAAAAUACAAGCUCUUCACCUGUGUCCUUUGCCAGAAGCGCCAGUCUUGUCUUAUGCCAUCUCCACAGCUGCCUCCUGGAGCCUGGAGUGGUUUCCCCCACUCUGCUCAGCUCCUUCACACUUCUGAAGUUCCUGAGUGUGGCUCCCUCACCUGGAACCCCUUUCCAUCUCUUCCAUCUCUUGGAAUCUUCUUCUGUCUCCCACAUGAAGACUCAACUGAAAUGCUUCCUCCUCUGGGAAGCGUUCCCCGACCUCCCAAGGCUGCAUCAGAGGAAAUAGCUGCACUUCCCCCAUGCCCUGUCGUGCCUCCAUUAGAGGAGGGUGACCACCUGGCAUUGUGACCGGCAUGUCAGUCUGUCCCCCCAGCAGAGUAGGGGCUGGUGCCCCUCACUCUCCUCCAGUGCCUGGUUUUGGUACUGCAGGUGCUGCACGGACAGAGGGACAGACGGAUGCAGGAAGGAGUGAAAGACUCGGGGAACAAGGGGAUACAUAUUCUAGGGUCCUCUGGCAGCCAAUUACAACCUCCCAUCCCUGUCCAACCCCUCUCCCGCCUCAUAUCCUGAGUAUGCGUUCUCCCAGGUGUUUGAGUGUAUCUUGUCAACAACAGCUGGGGCCUUUGUGUUUUCUCAAGAGGAACAGAGUGGUGGUGGCGUGUUUUCCCGCUGUACCAGGAAGAGAAGAUCAGCGUUUCUAAAAUGUCCUCAUUCAGGGUGAAGUGGAAAUAUUCCAGUGCUGAGGAAUCAGGUGGCCUGAGUUCUAAUCCUUGCUUUUCCUUGCCUCCCCAAGGGACCCCAGAACCAAAUCCCUGUGCUCUCGGCACUUUGUGCUCUUGUCUGUAAAGGGGAUGGGGAGGGGGGCAGUGAUCUCGCUCCAAAUGGGAUGUCCUGGGAUGAUGACUCAAAGCCACACAUCCAAGGAAUUCUGGCAGGGUUUUGGGGUGUCUGUGAAGCCGAACAUUGCCUCUGAAAUUUUGUGAAUAUGGGUACUCUUCUCUGGAGGCUCAUAGCUUUCAUCCCGUUCUUGAAGGGUCCCCUAAUCUCCUACAAGUUAAGAUUGACUGUCUAUUGACAGAUUGAACAAAAUCUCAUUUGUGUCAGUAAAAAUAAAAAUUUUUUUAAAAAGCAAGGGAGAAUACAUGAAUGCAAAGUUAUUGUCUAACGCAGGUUUCCUCAACCUGAGCACUAGCCAUAUAUCGGACCAGAUCAUUCUUUGUGGUGGCAUCAGAGAGCAACCUGUAGGUACCAUUCCCUGGCUGCUACCCACCAGAGGCCAACAGCAACCCCCAACUGUGAUAUACCUAAAGCUGCCCACCCCCCAGGGGUGGGGGGUUGGGAUCAGUGAGAAGAUGAAAGGCACUUUUUUCUUUUGGUCCUCUGCUGCUUAAAUUUGAAAUUCAUGACUAAACAUUAAAAGUAUAAUAAAAAUGAGUUUAGGGGGUGCCUGGGUGGCUCAGUUGGUUAAGUGACUGCCUUUGGCUCAGUUCAUGAUUCUGGAGUCCUGGGAUCGGGUCCAGCAUCCAGCUCCCUGCUCAGCAGGGAACCUGCUUCUCCUUCUGAUCUUUCCCCUCUCAUGCUUUCUCUCCUCUCUCUCUCUUUGAAAUAAAUAAAUAAAAUAAAACUAAAUUUUAAAAAUGAGUUAUUGCUAAAAAUAAGUUACCUCCAUUCAAGGGACACACACAGCUGUUAAAAAAAAAUGGGAAGAAUCUCUACAUUUGAAAAACGGCAGAGAUGUUUAAUGUGUUUACUCUCAGAACCCCUCUAUGGGCUUUACAAUGCCAAGGGGGGUGCGCCUGGGUGGCUCAAUAGGUUGAAGCCUCUGCCUUCGGCUCAGGUCAUGAUCUCAGGGUCCUUGGAUUGAGCCCCUCAUCCAGCUCUCUGCUCAGUGAGGAGCCUGCUUCUCCCUCUCUCUGUCUGCCAGUCUGCCUACUUGUGA